GAUGAACGCUAGCGGGAGGCCUAACACAUGCAAGCCGAGCGGUAUUGUUUCUUCGGAAAUGAGAGAGCGACGUACGGGUGCGUAACACGUGUGCAACCUGCCUUUAUCUGGGGGAUAGCCUUUCGAAAGGAAGAUUAAUACCCCAUAAUAUAUUGAACGGCAUCGUUUAAUAUUGAAAGCUCCGGCGGAUAGAGAUGGGCACGCGCAAGAUUAGUUAGUUGGUGAGGUAACGGCUCACCAAGGCGAUGAUCUUUAGGGGGCCUGAGAGGGUGAUCCCCCACACUGGUACUGAGACACGGACCAGACUCCUACGGGAGGCAGCAGUGAGGAAUAUUGGACAAUGGGUGCAAGCCUGAUCCAGCCAUCCCGCGUGAAGGACGACUGCCCUAUGGGUUGUAAACUUCUUUUGUAUAGGGAUAAACCUACCCUCGUGAGGGUAGCUGAAGGUACUAUACGAAUAAGCACCGGCUAACUCCGUGCCAGCCGCCGCCGUAA
rnacentral:rRNA from 1 species